AUGGUGGUCUGUGACUCCCUGACAAGUGAACACCUUCAGGUCCCCAAGAUGGUCUCCAGAGCUGUAAUGAUGGUGGUGUUGGUGGUGGCCGCUGUAAUGGUGGCGGCCCUGGCCGGUCCCGUGGCAGCCCCAGUAGGUCACCCGGGAUAUCUUGGCUACGGUGGAUAUGGUGGCUAUGGAGGUUAUGGUGGCUAUGGAGGAUAUGGUGGCUAUGGAGGAUAUGGUGGCUUCGGAUAUCGCAGAUAUGGGUUCGGGUAUGGACGCUGAGGUCAGGCUGGGGCAGUUGGGUUGACUCUUAUCUCCACUUAAGUCUUUCUUUUAUAUAAAUGAAAACUCCUUUGGGAAGAAAUAUGUUGCUGGGAUACUGCGAGUCAUCUUCCCCACACAUGCUAGUGUUUAUACCAUGAACGGUAAGGAUGGAUAUCAGGCAGUGUCUUCCUCCUCUGCGUUACACUGUGAUGGAUGUCUCAACUUCGACAUCAGCUUUACAAAGCUUUUUAAUAAAUUUAUACAUAUA